AAGUGAGAGCGGCGAACAGCGACGAUUCUGCGCAUGUUCAAGGCGCGGAUAUUGGGUCUUUGAAACAUGUCGCAAGGAUAAAAGCAAUCUGUGAAACUAUUGAUGUUUUCCUCCAGAAAAGUCUUAGCCCGGACAACUUAACGGUUUUGACCUUUAGGAGAGAGCCAAUUCUGGAGAACAACCUAACUUCUUUGAUUGAACACUCACAUAAUGCAUUGGAACAUGAUAGGAGAUUAAGCUGGGAACAGGAACUGGGAGAUUGCUACUGCUUGUCAGCUGUUGCAUAGAAUAGCAUCAAUAUGCAAUAAUGGUGGCCAAAGGAGCCUGCAGGAGCUUUUACAAACCAGGUUUGAUACUGAUAAAAUGAAGACCAUAAUAAAACAGUCCCCUACUUAGCCCAGCAAUUCUUACCUUUCUUAACCUACUUGAUGAAGAGGUCUUUUGAAAGGUGUACUGCAAGGGAUGCAAUGCUGUCUGUAAAUUAACACUUUUACGAAGCAUACAGCUUCUUUCCAGUCUCUUACUAAAGAAGAGGAAAUGGCCUGUCAGUACCUAAUGAAGCACACAUUUUAGGUGGAUAUUACUAUCCCUUAUUCAUCGAAAAAGUUUUAAUUAAUUCUAAGUGUAUUUUCUCAUUGAGUUUUAACAAAAUGGACAAAAAUUAGUGUCCCAAACUUUUGAGAUAGAUUUGGCUCUAGUAAGUAUUUAGACCUAUUAUUUGCAUAUCUAGGAGAAGAAAUGAGACCAUCAUCAUUUCCAGCCAAAAUUGUUUUUUCUUACCUCUGUAAAAGGAUUUCUUGCAAUUUAUGUUUUAUUACUAAUAACUUGAGCCCCUUUAAUGAAGAACUAACUCACCAGAAAUGUGAGAGUAUAUGUUCUUGCUUUGUUUGUUUAUAAAUAUAUCUCACAGAUUUCUGAUGUCUUUUUUUUUGAGCUAUAUACAAUGAAGAAAAUGUUGACAAAAUAAACAAGUUUAAACUUUUUAUGUUAUAGUUACUGUGCAUGGUGACAAGUGAGUUGCUUUUUUUUUUUGUCUUUAUUAUUACUGAAAUUAAAUUCAACAUUUAUAAUUUUUAUUUGGGUCUAUUUCUUGAUUACUAAUACAUGGAAUUCAUUCAGAGUGUUUAUGAGUAAAAUACUUAAAUUAGCAUAUU